rnacentral:rRNA from 1 species
GGGAUAACUACUGGAAACGGUAGCUAAUACCGCAUAACGUCGCAAGACCAAAGAGGGGGACCUUCGGGCCUCUUGCCAUCGGAUGUGCCCAGAUGGGAUUAGCUAGUAGGUGGGGUAACGGCUCACCUAGGCGACGAUCCCUAGCUGGUCUGAGAGGAUGACCAGCCACACUGGAACUGAGACACGGUCCAGACUCCUACGGGAGGCAGCAGUGGGGAAUAUUGCACAAUGGGCGCAAGCCUGAUGCAGCCAUGCCGCGUGUAUGAAGAAGGCCUUCGGGUUGUAAAGUACUUUCAGCGGGGAGGAAGGGAGUAAAGUUAAUACCUUUGCUCAUUGACGUUACCCGCAGAAGAAGCACCGGCUAACUCCGUGCCAGCAGCCGCGGUAAUACGGAGGGUGCAAGCGUUAAUCGGAAUUACUGGGCGUAAAGCGCACGCAGGCGGUUUGUUAAGUCAGAUGUGAAAUCCCCGGGCUCAACCUGGGAACUGCAUCUGAUACUGGCAAGCUUGAGUC